rnacentral:rRNA from 1 species
AGCAGCCGCGGUAAUUCCAGCUCCAAUAGCGUAUAUUAAAGUUGUUGCAGUUAAAAAGCUCGUAGUCGAAUUUCGGGGUUCUACCGUUGGUCGGGCUUUGUCUGUACUGGCGUGUAGAAUUUCUACCUUCUGGGGAACCAUCAUGUUAUUAAUUUAACGUGGUGGGAAACCAGGACCUUUACCUUGAAAAAAUUAGAGUGUUCAAAGCAGGCUUAUGUCUGAAUACAUUAGCAUGGAAUAAUAGAAUAGGACGGUGGUCCUGUUUUGUUGGUUUCUGAAUCACCGUAAUGAUUAAUAGGGAUAGUUGGGGGCAUUAGUAUUCAAUUGUCAGAGGUGAAAUUCUUGGAUUUAU